GGGGGAAUUUUGGACAAUGGGCGCAAGCCUGAUCCAGCCAUGCCGUGUGAGUGAAGAAGGCCUUCGGGUUGUAAAGCUCUUUCAGCCGGAAAGAAAACGCACGGGUUAAUAACCUGUGUGGAUGACGGUACCGGAAGAAGAAGCACCGGCUAACUACGUGCCAGCAGCCGCGGUAAUACGUAGGGUGCGAGCGUUAAUCGGAAUUACUGGGCGUAAAGCGUGCGCAGGCGGUUUUGUAAGACAGAUGUGAAAUCCCCGGGCUUAACCUGGGAACUGCAUUUGUGACUGCAAGGCUAGAGUACGGCAGAGGGGGGUAGAAUUCCACGUGUAGCAGUGAAAUGCGUAGAUAUGUGGAGGAAUACCGAUGGCGAAGGCAGCCCCCUGGGUCGAUACUGACGCUCAUGCACGAAAGCGUGGGGAGCAAACAGGAUUAGAUACCCUGGUAGUCCACGCCCUAAACGAUGUCAACUAGGUGUUGGGGGAGAGACUUCCUUAGUACCGCAG
rnacentral:rRNA from 1 species